rnacentral:snoRNA from 1 species
UCAACCAAUGAUGAUGGUGUGUCAUGAAUCAAGGAUUACAAUUAAUCCAUUUCUGUGCAUAUGAGGUCAAAU